rnacentral:rRNA from 1 species
AUUGAACGCUGGCGGUAUGCUUAACACAUGCAAGUCGAACGGUAGCAGGCCUUCGGGCGCUGACGAGUGGCGGACGGGUGAGUAACGCGUAGGAAUCUGCCUCAUAGUGGGGGACAACGUGUGGAAACGCACGCUAAUACCGCAUACGCCCUACGGGGAAAGCGGGGGACCUUUGGGCCUCGCGCUAUGAGAUGAGCCUGCGUUAGAUUAGCUAGUGGGUGGGGUAAAGGCCUACCAAGGCGACGAUCUAUAGCGGGUCUGAGAGGACGAUCAGCCACACUGGGACUGAGACACGGCCCAGACUCCUACGGGAGGCAGCAGUGGGGAAUAUUGGACAAUGGGCGCAAGCCUGAUCCAGCAAUACCGCGUGUGUGAAGGAGGCCCUAGGGUUGUAAAGCACUUUCAAUAGGGAGGAAAACCUGCCGGUCAAUACCCGGUAGAUUGACAUUACCUAUACAAGAAGCACCGGCUAACUCCGUGCCAGCAGCCGCCGUAAGAC